rnacentral:lncRNA from 1 species
AGGGAUUUUCAUUUAUGUGGUUGAUCUGUUGGCUCCAGAGACGAGCCAUACAUCAAGGUGGCGGUCGUCCGAUCCUACUUCAGGUCGACAUUUUCGUGGUGUCAAGAGCAACGACGUUGUUGUUCAACCUAGUGUCAACGGUUUUGUUCCAUUGCCUCCAACCUUGCAUGUAUCAGGCGGUGUGGCCUUCAUAUCUUAAUGAGACGGGGGUUUGACGGGAAACAAUGUGAUGACGGACCCUGACGACGGCACGACAUCGAUCGGAUGUAGCACAUAUGUGACGGUCUUUAACUUGCUUUUAAUAAAAUGAUUUCUCCAUCAAGAUGAAAGGACUAGGGCUUUUUUGUACGUGUGUCGAGAGCUAGUUAGCGCAAUGCUCUAUGUGAGGAAGGACACGUCGAUGGUGAAGAUGGAGGACAACUUCAACAACGAGUAUGUGAGUUCUCUGGCUAAAAACCCAUGAUCUAGCAUCUUCGACUUGAUCAGACAAUUGCGAUGUAAGUACGUCUUAUCCUUGUUGAAGGUGUUGACUCGAAGCUAUGCUUUUUUUGGGGUUGGGAGGGGGUGGGGUGAGGAGGGUGAUAACCCCAAGUUUGAUCUCUUGGUGGGACUUUACAACAUCGUUGUACGAGCGACGAUCCUUCUAGAAGGCGUUGUUCCGGAGUACCAUGCUUGUUGUUAGGUUCCAUAAUGUUUUACGGUAGAUUUGUUCCCCAACCAUAGUUUUGUGGUAAAUAAUGGAGAAGCUGGCUAUCGCGAGAACGCUUGGCUUUGUUUUUUUUUUCUUUUUAAGCAGAUGAGCUUGUCCUUUAUGCUUGAUCACGUUUCUUCAAUAAAAUUAUAGCUGCAUAUAUUUGAGGAUGUAGAGGUUGGAGAUCAUGUCUUUCUUUCAAGAAAAAAGCUCACUAACGUGCAAGAUAUAGAUUGAAUAUAAGGUAAAGAUAGUGUGAUUUCAUGAAAGGAAAACAACACUAAAGCAGUAAAAGAGUGAAGGGAGGCGCAAGUGACAGAACAUAACUACUGUCUCCGGUGCCAAAUUUUUGUUUUGAUAUUAAAACCACGACAAAAAAUUAGGAUCAGAGAAAGUACAUCAGUGUUAGUCAACUUGUACUCACGGAAUUGACGAGAUAAAAAAAAGAGAGAACCACGCUCAAUGACACGUCCUUCCACUUUGUUCUGAAGUAGAUGGAGGCAUGGAGCUUACAAAAAUAGGAGUAGAAAAGAAGAUAACAACCUUACUC